UACGGGGGGGGGCAAGCGUUGUUCGGAAUUACUGGGCGUAAAGGGCUCGUAGGCGGCCAACUAAGUCGGAUGUGAAAUCCCCAGGCUUAACCUGGGAACUGCAUCCGAUACUGGAUGGCUUGAAUCCGGGAGAGGGAUGCGGAAUUCCAGGUGUAGCGGUGAAAUGCGUAGAGAUCAUGAGGAAGACCAGUGGCGAAGGCGGGUCUCUGGACAGUUCCUGACACUGAGGCACGAAGGCCAGGGGAGCAAACGGG
rnacentral:rRNA from 1 species